GGCUGGGUAGCUCAGUGGAUUGAGAGCCAAGCCUAGAAGUGGGAGGUCCUAGGUUCGAAUCCAGCCUCAGCCA
rnacentral:tRNA from 1 species